rnacentral:rRNA from 1 species
GAGUUUGAUCAUGGCUCAGAACGUACGCUGGCGGCACGCCUAACACAUGCAAGUCGAACGAAGUAGCAAUACUUAGUGGCAGACGGGUGAGUAACAUGUAGGUAUCUACCCUUUGGCCUGGAAUAACACGAGGAAACUUGUGCUAAUACCGGAUAAGUCUUUACAGAGAAAGCUUUAUGCACCAUUGGAUGAGCCUGCACUUGAUUAGUUUGUUGGUAGGGUAAUGGCCUACCAAGACUGUGAUCAAUAGCUGAUUUGAGAGGAUGAUCAGCCACAUUGGGACUGAGACACGGCCCAAACUCCUACGGGAGGCAGCAGUGGGGAAUCUUGCACAAUGGAGGAAACUCUGAUGCAGCGAUGCCGCGUGAGUGAAGAAGGCCCUUGGGUUGUAAAGCUCUUUCGUCGGGGAAGAAAAUGACUGUACCCGAAUAAGAAGGUCCGGCUAACUUCGUGCCAGCAGCCGCGGUAAUACGAAGGGACCUAGCGUAGUUCGGAAUUACUGGGCUUAAAGAGUUCGUAGGUGGUUGAAAAAGUUGGUGGUGAAAUCCCAGAGCUUAACUCUGGAACUGCCAUCAAAACUUUUCAGCUAGAGUUUGAUAGAGGAAAGCAGAAUUUCUAGUGUAGAGGUGAAAUUCGUAGAUAUUAGAAAGAAUACCAAUUGCGAAGGCAGCUUUCUGGAUCAUUACUGACACUGAGGAACGAAAGCAUGGGUAGCGAAGAGGAUUAGAUACCCUCGUAGUCCAUGCCGUAAACGAUGUGUGUUAGACGUUGGAAAUUUAUUUUCAGUGUCGCAGCGAAAGCGAUAAACACACCGCCUGGGGAGUACGACCGCAAGGUUAAAACUCAAAUGAAUUGACGGGGACCCGCACAAGUAGUGGAGCAUGUGGUUUAAUUCGAAGAUACGCGCAGAACCUUACCAACACUUGACAUGUUCGUCGCGACUCUAAGAGAUUAGAGUUUUCGGUUCGGCCGGACGAAACACAGGUGCUGCAUGGCUGUCGUCAGCUCGUGUCGUGAGAUGUUGGGUUAAGUCCCGCAACGAGCGCAACCCUCACUUUUAGUUGCCAUCAUUAAGUUGGGCACUCUGAAAGAACUGCCAGUGAUAAGCUGGAGGAAGGUGGGGAUGACGUCAAGUCCUCAUGGCCCUUACGUGUUGGGCUACACACGUGCUACAAUGGUAUCUACAACAGGAAGCAAAGCAGCGAUGUUAAGCAAAUCCUUAAAAGAUACCUCAGUUCGGAUUGCACUCUGCAACUCGAGUGCAUGAAGCUGGAAUUACUAGUAAUCGUGGAUCAGCGUGCCACGGUGAAUGCGUUCCCGGGUCUUGUACACACCGCCCGUCACACCAUGGGAGUUGGUUCUACCUUAAGGCAAGGUUUUAAACCCUUGACCACGGUAUAGUCAGCGACUGGGGUGAAGUCGUAACAAGGUAACC